CGCUGAAACUCUUCUUCAUGUAUUUUCUUCCCAUCCUGCAUUCUCCUCUUCCAACUGAAACCUCCCUCUUCCCCUAAAAAUUCUCCACUUCAAAUCAGUUAUUCAAAAACCUGUAAACCGCACCUAAAUCAUAUAUUAUGGAAUUUAAAUUGAUUUUCAAUUUGCAUUUUCAAAAUGGGGCGCCUUGGGUGAAAAUUUGGGGCUUUUUCAGGAGAAAAUUUAGGAAUUUCAUACUCCUCUGUUUAGGGUUAACCCAACCUCCAACCUCUAAAAACCCUUUUGUCAAACAUUUUCAUCUCACACAAGUUCAUCGCUGUAACCGUUUGUUCAAUGGGUUCUCCGUGUUCUUCUCCAACUGCAUAAAUUCUAGAUUUCACAUCCGUUCACCUGUGCAAAGGAAAAGAAAUUAGACUGACAACUCUAAUCCAGCACAAGUAAGUUCAAGUAAAACUCUUGGUUUAAACAAAUAAAAGCUCGCUGCAUUCUUAGUUUGCUGCGACCUAGAGAAAAGAUCAUAGAGUGGAGUUGACUUCAACUGAGAUUCCUUGCAAAUUGAUAGUAUUGAUGCAAAUAGGGUGCUAUCUAUUCAAAAGCAUCAAUCUAAUGAUACUGGUGACAUUUCUAUUACAAGUGAAAAUGAACUUGAAUCAUAUUCUGCGCAUAAUGUUACUCCUAUGAAAAGAAUGUCACAUCAAAAUCUUGAUUAUUCUGACAUACCGGAAAACUCUCCAGCACAAGCUUCCUCAACUAAGGAGUUAAAACGUGUUAAGAUAGAGAAGUGAAAUAAGAACUUGAUUACAAUGAGACUACUGCUAUGUUAGUAUAUGUUGCUUUGCUAUUUAUGUUGUUUUAAAGAGUUAAUUACAUUGUUUGGUUUGGUAUUAAGUAAAAUCGGAUGGCCAAUUUUAAUAUUA